AUGCUGGAAAUCUGCUGCCUGGAUCCUCACCUGCCUGCUGGCAUCGUUCUUCCUGAUCGCAUUCACCUGCUUCCUUCCAACCGAAGAUAUCAAACUCCAACAAAGAUCAGUUUCCACCAACAACACAAAUGCUCCAGUGACAUCAUGGUCUCAAGUGCGGCUGGUGAACGGCAGGAGCCCGUGCGAGGGGCCGUGUGGAGGUGCUCUAUAACAGCACGGUGGGGGACGUGUGCGAUGACGACGUGGGACAUGGUGGACUCCAAUGUGGUGUGCCGGCAGCUGGACUGCGGUGUGGCCGUGCUGUGGGCAGCAGCUAAAAGUUUAUGAUUUUCAUUUAGUUUA
rnacentral:lncRNA from 1 species